AAAAACUUCCAAUUCGAAAAACGGCAUGUGGUUUAUUAAGGAGUUGGGCCACGUCUAUUUCCCUAACAACUGCAAGGCCGCCAUCUCCAGAAUUACAAGAAAACACCUACAGGAGUUAGAAAAGGACAAUGGCUAUCACGAUGAAUGGGAUCAUCACAUAUUGAAUUUUACACUGUGCAAGGUCAAGUCCGAAUUCAAAGAUGAUGUCACGUUCAUGAAUUGAAGCAACAACAGGACCACUUUGAUGGCUGCAUCAAUGGAAUGAUUGAAGAAAGGGCGCCGUGGCACACACAGUACGUAGGCUACAUAAGGAUUAGAAUAUCUAUACACACACCGUACACAUUCUAAGAUACAAUAUACU